rnacentral:rRNA from 1 species
GCGCAGGUGGGAAUGUAAGUCAGUGGUGAAAUACUGCCGCUUAACGGUAGAGCUGCCAUUGAUACUGCGUUUCUUGAGUAUGGUUGAGGUAGGUGGAAUGUGUUGUGUAGCGGUGAAAUGCAUAGAUAUGACACAGAACGCCGAUUGCGAAGGCAACUUACUAAGCCAUUACUGACGCUGAGGCACGAAAGCGUGGGUAGCGAACAGGAUUAGAUACCCUGGUAGUCCACGCUGUAAACGAUGUUCACUCGCUGUUUGCGAUACACAGUAAGCGGCUGAGCGAAAGCAUUAAGUGAACCACCUGGGGAGUACGAUCGCAAGGUUGAAACUCAAAGGAAUUGACGGGGGCCCGCACAAGCGGAGGAACAUGUGGUUUAAUUCGAUGAUACGCGAGGAACCUUACCUGGGCUUAAAUGUAGAUUGCAUGGAUUGGAAACAGUUCUUCCCUUCGGGGCUAUUUACAAGGUGCUGCAUGGUUGUCGUCAGCUCGUGCCGUGAGGUGUCGGGUUAAGUCCCAUAACGAGCGCAACCCCUAUCGUUAGUUGCCAGCGGGUCAAGCCGGGGACUCUAGCGAGACUGCCACCGUAAGGUGAGAGGAAGGUGGGGAUGACGUCAAAUCAGCACGGCCCUUAUGUCCAGGGCUACACACGUGUUACAAUGGCCGAUACAAAGGGCAGCUACUUCGCGAGAAGAUGCUAAUCUCUAAAGUCGGUCCCAGUUCGGAUUGGAGUCUGCAACCCGACUCCAUGAAGUUGGAUUCGCUAGUAAUCGCGCAUCAGCCAUGGCGCGGUGAAUACGUUCCCGGGCCUUGUACACACCGCCCGUCAAACCAUGGGAGCUGGGGGUGCCUGAAGUCUGCCACCGCAAGGAGCGGCC